ensembl:snRNA U6 U6 spliceosomal RNA
AUGCUUGUUUUGGCAGCACCUAUGCCAAAACUGGAAUGACACAGAUGAGCAUGGUUCCUGUGCAAGGACAACACCCAAAUUCAUGGAGCAUUUAAUAUAUUU